AAUGUAAUCCUUCCUUCAAUAGAAGAAAUGAUCUUCUAAGGUCGAGUAUUGAAGUCUGGAAAAAGAUGGCUUAAGCUUGUAUAUGUGAAAUCAAGUUAGAAAAUCGAACCCUAAUUCACCAAAUCAUUUUUGCCUAUAUAAAUCUUUCAACACGGCCGUGGUCAAGCCCGUGCUUAUCAGCACGGGCGGAGUCCAGGCCGUGUUGCACCUCAACAUU
rnacentral:lncRNA from 1 species